rnacentral:rRNA from 1 species
AUUGAACGCUGGCGGCAGGCCUAACACAUGCAAGUCGAGCGAGCGGCGGACGGGUGAGUAAUGUCUGGGAAACUGCCUGAUGGAGGGGGAUAACUACUGGAAACGGUAGCUAAUACCGCAUACCAUCAGAUGUGCCCAGAUGGGAUUAGCUAGUAGGUGGGGUAAUGGCUCACCUAGGCGACGAUCCCUAGCUGGUCUGAGAGGAUGACCAGCCACACUGGAACUGUGACAAGGUCCAGACUCCUACGGGAGGCAGCAGUGGGGAAUAUUGCACAAGGGGGGCAAGCCUGAUGCAGCCAUGCCGCGUGUAUGAAGAAGGCCUUCGGGUUGUAAAGUACUUUCAGCGAGGAGGCGUUAGAGGAAGAAGAAGCACCGGCUAACUCCGUGCCAGCAGCCGCGGUAAUUG